UACGUAGGGUGCAAGCGUUAAUCGGAAUUACUGGGCGUAAAGGGUGCGUAGGCGGGUCUUUAAGUCAGGGGUGAAAUCCUGGAGCUCAACUCCAGAACUGCCUUUGAUACUGAGAGUCUUGAGUCCGGGAGAGGUGAGUGGAACUGCGAGUGUAGAGGUGAAAUUCGUAGAUAUUCGCAAGAACACCAGUGGCGAAGGCGGCUCACUGGCCCGGUACUGACGCUGAGGUGCGAAAGCGUGGGGAGCAAACAGG
rnacentral:rRNA from 1 species